GACGAACGCUGGCGGCGUGCUUAACACAUGCAAGUCGAACGAUGAACUUGGAGCUUGCUCUGGGGGAUUAGUGGCGAACGGGUGAGUAACACGUGAGUAACCUGCCCUGGACUCUGGGAUAACUUCGAGAAAUCGGAGCUAAUACCGGAUAGGACCUUGCACCGCAGGGUGUGGGGUGGAAAGCUUUUCGGUUUGGGAUGGACUCGCGGCCUAUCAGCUUGUUGGUGAGGUAAUGGCUCACCAAGGCGUCGACGGGUAGCCGGCCUGAGAGGGUGACCGGCCACACUGGGACUGAGACACGGCCCAGACUCCUACGGGAGGCAGCAGUGGGGAAUAUUGCACAAUGGGCGCAAGCCUGAUGCAGCAACGCCGCGUGCGGGAUGACGGCCUUCGGGUUGUAAACCGCUUUUAGUAGGGAAGAAGCCUUCGGGUGACGGUACCUGCAGAAAAAGGACCGGCUAACUACGUGCCAGCCGCCGCAGUAACAC
rnacentral:rRNA from 1 species